GAUGAAUCGGGCCAGCAGGUUAUACACAAAGCGAAGGGACUCCCAUCUGUCCAUGGGGAGACUGCAUCGUGGUCACUGGGCAAACAGCAGUCGAGAGCGGCAUGAAAGGCCGCGAAAUGCUUCGAGCAUAUUAUUGAUAAGCAGAAAAGAAAAAACCCCAAAUUCAAGCUAUACCACUCGCUGCAUACAUAUGUGUACCUACUACAUAUAUACUUAUGUACAGGUAGACGACUAUAUAUACAUUUUGGGUCGGUAUCAAUAAAUGCUUCCACUGUGGCAGUUACCAGCGAGCGGGCGCGAUAAAAUAUAGACAUUACCUUUGAUAAAUGACAAUCAGGUGAAGAGUUUAAAGAGGCGGACACAGUACCGGACUAUUCCCUGCUUGGGAUAAUCAAAUAUUGUAAAUUCUAAAAUAAAAAACUGAUCAAGUUUGCUUCUCACAAUGGCUCUGUGGUUAA